AGGAGAAAAAACUCCCGUGUAUGAAAUAUUUCAUGAAUGAAAAUUUUCAGACGCCAUAUUUGAUCAUUUCUUACUACUGUACGGGUGUAAUUGACACCUGUGUUAAAUUUUACCUGUACCUCAAAGAAGAUGUAUAAUUAAUUGGCUUCACUUGACAGCUGGGGUGUCAAACAUACUGGUAAUCAACGAUGUUUACCUCUGGCUAACUGCCGUUGUGUUAUAAAAACGAUGUGUAUUGGGAAUAUUGAAA
rnacentral:lncRNA from 1 species